GUUGAACGCUGGCGGCAGGCCUAACACAUGCAAGUCGAGCGGUAACAGGAAGUAGCUUGCUACUUCGCUGACGAGCGGCGGACGGGUGAGUAAUGCCUGGGAAUAUGCCUUGAUGUGGGGGAUAACUAUUGGAAACGAUAGCUAAUACCGCAUAAUGUCCCGGUUUAUAAUGAACUGGGACCAAAGAGGGGGACCUUCGGGCCUCUCGCAUCAAGAUUAGCCCAGGUGGGAUUAGCUGGUUGGUGGGGUAACGGCUCACCAAGGCGACGAUCCCUAGCUGGCCUGAGAGGAUGAUCAGCCACACUGGAACUGAGACACGGUCCAG
rnacentral:rRNA from 1 species